rnacentral:tRNA from 1 species
GCCUGGAUGGCUCAGUCGGUUAAGCGUCCGACUUCAGCUUAGGUCAUGAUCUUACAGUUCAUGGGUUCGAGCCCCAUGUCGGGCU